rnacentral:rRNA from 1 species
GUGCCAGCAGCCGCGGUAAUACGUAGGGUGCAAGCGUUGUCCGGAAUUAUUGGGCGUAAAGAGCUCGUAGGCGGUUUGUCGCGUCGGCUGUGAAAGCCCGGAGCUCAACUCCGGGUCUGCAGUCGAUACGGGCAGACUUGAGUGUUGCAGGGGAGACUGGAAUUCCUGGUGUAGCGGUGAAAUGCGCAGAUAUCAGGAGGAACACCGGUGGCGAAGGCGGGUCUCUGGGCAACAACUGACGCUGAGGAGCGAAAGCGUGGGGAGCGAACAGGAUUAGAUACCCUGGUAGUCCACGCCGUAAACGUUGGGCGCUAGAUGUUGCGGGUAUUGACCCCUGCAGNGUCGACGCUAACGCAUUAAGUGCUCCGCCUGGGGAGUACGGCCGCAAGGCUAAAACUCAAAUGAAUUGACGG